UCCCUGGUCGAGUUAAGGGCCGGUUCCGGCGGCAGGGCGGGACUCGCGGUCUCCCGUCCCUCCCGGGGUGUGUGUGGGGGGAAUAACAUGAAGAUUUUUUUGGGGUGAAAGCGCAGAAAUUAGCGAGGAGAGACGCUAAUUUGGGUAAACUCGGUCCCCGGAAGUAGAGCGACCGGAAAUCCUCCAAGGCCCCCGGCCCUGGGGCACCCAUAAAAAUGAUGUCGAAAUAACUAAUGAGAGACGCUUGCAACAGCUAUCAGGAGAAGUGCACACGUUUGAGGCUUUGGAUAGUGACCCAAUGCUAGUGAAGUUAAUUGAUGCUCAAGUGUCCUGUGGGUGGUAGAGUUGAGCUGAAGCUUGGAGCUCAGGUGAUGCUAGCAAAGAAUCUGGAUGUGUCUCAAGGGCUGGUGAACGGGGCACGAGGCGUUGUUGUAGGAUUUGAAAGUGAACAGAAGGGGCUGCCUAAGGUGAGGUUUCUCUGUGGGGUCACACAGGUCAUAAGAAUGGAGAAAUGGGUCUUCAAAGGACCAUCAGGAGUUCACCUGAGUCGUCAACAGCUGCCUUUAAAGUUGGCAUGGGCCAUUUCCAUUCACAAGAGUCAGGGCAUGUCUUUAGAUUGUGUGGAAAUCUCCCUGUCUCGUGUCUUUGAAAGUGGGCAGGCUUACGUAGCCCUCUCCCGAGCCCGCAGCCUUGCAGGUCUCCGUGUUCUGGAUUUUGACCCAAAAGUAGUGAGAGCUGAUCCUUCUGUGCUGCACUUCUAUAGACAGCUGAGGCGUCAUCAGCUUUUAACCCAGGAUUCACUACACACCUAUUCAGAUGCUGAUGAGAAGGAGAAUGUGAAAUGCAGCUGAUAAUGUUCUCCUGGUUUCUGUGAAGUGUCAGCACAGACAGCUGAGAUGCAGUGAUCUUGCUAUUGAGUAUAUUUGAUAACACAGUAUACCACUGUUGUGAGAUGGAAGGUGUCCGGAUGGAUUGGACCAGUUCACAGGAGCUGCUGACACAAGGGAAAGCAGUGCUAAGUAUCUGGAAUACACACUUGAUUCUUCUGCAAGCAAGGAGCUGGGCUAUUACUUUACAGCAUGCUGAGGUGUUCCAGAUGCUUGACACCAGGAGGCUUUGCAAAACUUCCUCCACAAGCAGAACUGCCAGUUACAUAUUGCUUGUUAUGCUGAUAUGUAGUGUUUUUAUUAGUCUGUUGCAUAAGAUGUGAUUUUUAUUUUUUUAACCCUCUGAGAUGAACUGGCACUGUUUAAAGACAGGAGGAAUUCCUACAUCUUAUACCUGUAAUUAUGGAACUACAAGAAUUGUGAAGUUCUGUUACUCCAUUAGGGAGAAGAUGGGUACUGGUGAGAGUUCCUCUUGUUAAAACAUGAGGCUUGCUCAAAUGAAAGUUGUCCCUGGAAAAAACCUGUCUGACUAAUAAGGUGGAAGUUUAGUGUGAAAUAGGGAAUAAUGGCUAUGGACAUGUGAAGUGAGCUGUAAUGUCACCUGUUUCAGCAAAAGCAGAGAUAAGCAGAACUAAUAUACUGUCUUAAUUAAGGCAAAGCUUUGGUCUUUGUAUUUUAGCACUUUGUUUAAAGCUUAAGUGACUUGUAUAUUUUAAAAUGUUUAACAUCUUAAAACAUGACAUAACAUUCAGCUGGAA